GAUGAACGCUAGCGGCAGGCCUAAUACAUGCAAGUCGAACGGUCCACUUCGGUGGAUAGUGGCGCACGAGUGCGUAACACGUAUGCAACCUACCUUACAUUGGGGGAUAGCCUUUCGAAAGGGAGAUUAAUACCGCAUAAGACAGUAACAUGGCAUCAUGUAGCUGUUAAAGAUUUAUCGAUGUAAGCUGGGCAUGCGUCCAAUUAGUUAGUUGGUGAGGUAAUGGCUCACCAAGACGAUGAUUGGUAGGGGAACUGAGAGGUCAAUCCCCCACACUGGCACUGAGAUACGGGCCAGACUCCUACGGGAGGCAGCAGUAGGGAAUAUUGGGCAAUGGACGCAAGUCUGACCCAGCCAUGCCGCGUGCAGGAAGAAGGCGUUCUGCGUUGUAAACUGCUUUUAUAUAGGAAGAAACGACCCUUGCGAGGGGCAUUGACGGUAUUAUAUGAAUAAGCACCGGCUAACUCCGUGCCAGCCGCCGCGGUAAGAC
rnacentral:rRNA from 1 species